rnacentral:rRNA from 1 species
GUGAGGAAUAUUGCGCAAUGGAGGCAACUCUGACGCAGCCAUGCCGCGUGCAGGAAGAAGGCGCUACGCGUUGUAAACUGCUUUUAACCGGGAAGAAACCCCAGGACGUGUCCUGGGUUGACGGUACCGGAGGAAUAAGCACCGGCUAACUUCGUGCCAGCAGCCGCGGUAAUACGAAGGGUGCAAGCGUUAUCCGGAUUCAUUGGGUUUAAAGGGUGCGUAGGCGGAGCGUUAAGUCAGUGGUGAAAUCCUGCAGCUUAACUGUAGACUUGCCAUAGGUACUGGCGCUCUUGAGUGCGCUUGAAGUGGGCGGAAUGUGCCGUGUAGCGGUGAAAUGCUUAGAUAUGGCACAGAACACCAAUUGCGAAGGCAGCUCACUAAGGCGAUACUGACGCUGAGGCACGAAAGCGUGGGGAUCGAACAGGAUUAGAAACCCGAGUAGUCC